rnacentral:tRNA from 1 species
GGCAAAAUGGCUGAGUAAGCAUUAGACUGUAAAUCUAAAGACAGAGGUUGANGUCCUCUUUUUGUCA